GAGCUCCUUGGGGGAGCAGGGCUCAGGUGGGACAUCAGCCCAGCUGCAGAGGAUGGGGGGAGGAAGGGGAGGGCUGGCCACACUUGCAGGCUGGCCCUGAAAAGGAGCUGCAAAACCCAGCAUGAGAGGCUAUGAAGCUGAAGGAGUAAGACGGGGUGGUGGUACUAGCUGCUGCUGCUGUUGUCUGGGUGGAGUAGCUGAAAAACAUUGUGCAAGAAGGAAGAGAAGAUGUUCAAGCCCCAGGUCCUCUUGAGCUGAUAAUAUUUAUUAUGUAAAACCAGAAUGAAGUCCAGGAGCUUGAUACUUUAAAAACAUCAGAGCUGCAACAAUAUGUGGACCAAAACCAAGGACAGAAACCAUUUGCCACACACUUAGAGCCUUGGCUUUCAAAAAGUGGUGCAACACAGUGCAGAAUCAGGGUCAACCACUGUUGCUGCUUUUUAAUAUCAGUAGAGAAAUGACUUUGCACUCAUCGCAUCAAGAGGAUUGUGAAGUUCAGAAAGUACCACCUGCUCUCUUAAGUGGACAGGGAUAAGAAGUGAUGCUGUAAGGAAGGUAAAAGUGAUACGAUAAGAUGUGAAAUGUAAUAGGGAAUGCAAGUAGUUACCAGCAAAACACCAAAAAGCAUCCUCAGUUUGUAAAGCUGUAAAUACCGCUGCUGUGAUCAGUUCCCGGGAAAAUACAGCAGAACAGGCCGUGUACUUGACCACUGAAGAUGUCAAGAUGUUGAAUGUGGUAUGUACCUGAUGUCUGAAGAUGUCAAGAUGUUGUUCAUCUAAUUUGCCCGGUUUAAAAAAGCCUCCAGCUUCUUGCCUUGCUGGAGUGCACCAACCUCCAUCUUCCCCUGGAGCAGCCCUGGGACCCCAGGACCCACCCGCCCAUCUCAGGCUGCUGCUGGAGCCCCAACACCCCCUGCAACCCACAACCUCUCCACCUGGAGUGCAAAUAAAAUAUUCCAUCAGGUUUUAUGUGCUACAACAAAACAGUCUCCGGUAGAUUAAUUCAGCAAAUUGUUGAAGAGCAAACCAAUGCUCUCUGCAUGGAAAAUUACCUGUUUCAAACUUCCAUGCUAUACUUUAGAUAUAUUAUUGUUUUUACUCAUAUAAAAUGAAAUUAAUGUGCAAGAAGCUAUUGUUUCACAUAGAAAGUUGUCUGGUCGCUUCAGUGCUUUGCAGCCCUUAUGGAACCUGUUAAACUUUGGGGUUAAAUGAAUGCUUCUGCACAGGAACAACUCUUUAAAAGCAUGACUGCACUGUCUACUGUAUGCACACAUGCACCUGCACACUUCUGUAUCCACCACUGUAUUAGCGUCAACGCAACCGGCAACAAAAUUGAAAGAAUAGAGGCCACAUUGUGGUUUCUCCAAGGGGGUGUCUGAAUAUUGUUGAAAGAAAUCUUUCUAUUUUGUUCUUUUUUAAAAAAAAAAAAAAAUCAUAUCCAUUAUUUUCUAUUCUUCAGUGACGUUUGUACAGGGAGAUUGUGUUAUUUUUUAUGGAAUUGUAUGUUUCUCUCUUUAAAAAAAAAAAGCUUUUCAAAGCAAGACUGUUGGUGACUGUGGCUGCUUUUAUAUUUAUAAUAUUUACUGUGUUUAAAAAAUAUAAUGCAGUAUUUAAUGUACAUGAUUUAGGAAAUUAAAAGCAGUGUUUCCAGUAGAAGAAAGAUGAUCUCCCACUUCAGUGGUAAUUAAUUACACAAUGUCACAAACUCAGUAAUACAGUGUCUUAAUUUAAACUUCUUCAGAAACUGGUCACUGCCCCUAAAAUAUGUCUACAUUCCUAAGCAAAGAUCCUGUAGUAAAUACAAAUGACACCUAGUACAAAGCCAUGUGUCUGUGUAACGCGUUUUGUUAUUUAGUUUAUUUCCUUUGACUCUGCUCAAAACCCUUAAAGGCUGAGAAUUAAUAAUAAUAAUAAAAGAAAUUACAAAUGCAAAAUCUCUAUCAUAAACUCCUCCCCCCCCCUAUUUUCUGAAGCACCUUGUGACUUUCAGUAUCUUUUUUCUUUUACAUGCCCAAGCUGAAGCACCUUAAUGCUAAGCUGGUUUUAAAAAAAUGUGCGCUUGGUAUUUCUGAAAAUCAAGGCUGGCUGAAAGGCUUUGUGAGGUGCUGCAAAUGGAAGCACCAUAAAUUAGGUGGU